AUGGACUGGAGCUGGAGAGUCCUCUUCCUGGUGGCAGUGGCUACAGGUAAGGGGCUCCCCAGUCCNCCCACAGGUGUCCACUCCGAGGUCCAGCUGGUGCAGCCUGGGGCUGAGGUGAGGAAGCCUGGGGCCUCAGUGAAGGUGUCCUGCAAGGCUUCCGGAUACACCUUCACUAGCUACAUUAUGAACUGGGUGCGACAGGCCCCGGGACAAGGGCUUGAGUGGAUGGGACGAAUAGACCCUGAAGAUAGUAGCACAAGCUACGCACAGAAGUUCCAGGGCAGAGUCACCAUGACUGCAGACACGUCCACCAGCACAGCCUACAUGGAGCUGAGCAGCCUGAGAGCCGAGGACACGGCUGUGUAUUACUGUGCGAGGGACACACCUGUGUGGCACAGCAUGACCACUAGGGGACCGGUCACUUCCACAGUCCGGCACCAGGACAUCUGGUUGGAUGAGCCAACUUGGUAUGACAAGAAGAAGAGACACUUUCUUGUUGCAGAAUGA